rnacentral:rRNA from 1 species
GAUGAACGCUGGCGGCGUGCCUAAUACAUGCAAGUCGAGCGAACAGACGAGGAGCUUGCUCCUCUGACGUUAGCGGCGGACGGGUGGGUAACACGUGGAUAACCUACCUAUAAGACUGGGAUAACUUCGGGAAACCGGAGCUAAUACCGGAUAAUAUAUUGAACCGCAUGGUUCAAUAGUGAAAGACGGUUUUGCUGUCACUUAUAGAUGGAUCCGCGCCGCAUUAGCUAGUUGGUAAGGUAACGGCUUACCAAGGCAACGAUGCGUAGCCGACCUGAGAGGGUGAUCGGCCACACUGGAACAGAGACACGGUCCAGACUCCUACGGGAGGCAGCAGUAGGGAAUCUUCCGCAAUGGGCGAAAGCCUGACGGAGCAACGCCGCGUGAGUGAUGAAGGUCUUCGGAUCGUAAAACUCUGUUAUUAGGGAAGAACAAAUGUGUAAGUAACUAUGCACGUCUUGACGGUACCUAAUCAGAAAGCCACGGCUAACUACGUG